rnacentral:rRNA from 1 species
GGACCCGCACAAGCGGUGGAGCAUGUGGUUUAAUUCGAUGCAACGCGAAGAACCUUACCUGGUCUUGACAUCCUGCGAACUUUCUAGAAAUAGAUUGGUGCCUUCGGGAACGCAGUGACAGGUGCUGCAUGGCUGUCGUCAGCUCGUGUCGUGAGAUGUUGGGUUAAGUCCCGUAACGAGCGCAACCCCUAUCCUUAUUUGCCAGCACAUCAUGGUGGGAACUAUAAGGAGACUGCCGGUGAUAAACCGGAGGAAGGCGGGGACGACGUCAAGUCAUCAUGGCCCUUACGACCAGGGCUACACACGUGCUACAAUGGGAAGGACAAAGAGCCGCGAAGCCGCGAGGUGUAGCUAAUCUCAUAAACCUUUUCGUAGUCCGGAUUGGAGUCUGCAACUCGACUCCAUGAAGUCGGAAUCGCUAGUAA